AGCCCCGCGCUCUACCAGGCAGAGCGCGUGUGGCCGCCGAGCACAUGGACCCACUGGUCAAGCGGGCUCGGCAAGGCCAGGAUGAAGAGAAGCUACGAACUUAGCAUUCCCAGAGCCCCCCGAGUGGAUAUCCGCGUGGAAAGGAUGUUGGCAGCCCCGGUGACCUCGGAGUCACGGCUGGAUCCACCCUCUUGGGCUGGGACACUGCCUGAUUGAGGUGGCCAUUGAGAAUUCAAGUGUACCUCUUGGUCCCUGAUGCAGAAAUGAAGUCCCCAGCAUGCUCAAGAAGAGCUUCCUUGGAGGAUGAGAGGCAUGGGAAUCUAAGGUAUGCUGUGCUUGUUCUUGGAGACUUGGUAGGGCAUGCAUGCUGGACUGGUUGCAGGCUAGAUGUUCUUACAGAAGGACUGUUCUGCUGCUGCUGACAGAUGUACAGACGAAUGCAGAGACAGUGAAGGGCUCUCUACUGAAUAAAAAGCCAGACCUGGGCCUUUUCACAGAAGGAAAUCCAUCCACAAUCCAGGCUGUGGACUGGAAACAAAAGUUUAGCUGCCAAUGGUCUUGUAAAGGGGGCUGGAGAAGUUCAGAUCUUGGAAUUAGGCCUAGAAACAUUAGAAUCCAGACCACGGAGCUCCCCAGAUCCUGACCUCAGUCCCAAUAUGGGGCACAAAGGUGUUAGAUCAACCCAGAGGUGGAUGUGUGCUUCACUGCGUACAUUCCACAGAACCACAAAGUGCGCUUCUGUUGAAUGAAGCAGCUGCCACGAGGCUCAGAAACGUUCAUGGGCACCCUGGGAGGAGCUUAUGCUGUAAUCCCAAGCUUAGAUGGAGGUCCAUCCUGGGUUAGGGAUGACAUAGUGGCAGUCAUCUCCUCUGAAGAUGGAAACAGGGGAUUUCAAUCCUCUAUAAUUGCUUUCAAUGCCAGCUUCAUCUAUGAAGAUGGGAGAUGAACUGGUAGUUCUCAAAUGCCCCAAAGCCUGAAACCACCUUAUUGAAAAGUAGACUGGAAAAGUCUGCCUCUCCAGCCAAAAAUAAAAA
rnacentral:lncRNA from 1 species